rnacentral:tRNA from 1 species
UUGGAAAGAGCGGGAUUUAAACCCGCCUGCACAGGGCUACAACCUGCCGCCUGACAAUUAAGCUAUC